UCAGUGAGAAAUCCUGACAUUCGAUUAAAUUAUUUUUUUCCCCUUAAGUUAAAACAAAAAAUAGUAGGAAACUGGGUGCGGAGUGGAAGGUGCAUCUUCAGUGAAAACCCAACAGUUCUUUAAUGGCGGAUUAAGCUGUUGGAGGAAAUCCAGAGGAGGGUCACGAAGCUGAUAAGAGAACUGGAGCAUCUCCCCUUCAAAGACAGGCUGAGAAAGUUGGGGCUGUUCAGCCUGGGGAAGAGGAGGUUGCGUGGAGACCUCAUAGGAACCUUUCAGUAUCUGAAGAGGACCUACAUGGAAGCUGGAGAGGACCUCGUCGUCAAGAAAUGCAAUGAUAGAACAGGGAAUAAUGGGUACAAAUUGAAAGGGGAAAUUUAGGUUAGAUAUUAGAAAGAAAUUUUUUACUGUGAGAGUGGUAAGACACUGGAACAGGUUGCCCAGGGAGGUUGUGGAUGCCCCAACUCUGGCAGUGUUCAAAGCCAGGUUGGAUAAGACCUUGAGCAACGUGGUCUAGUGCGGUGUCCCUGCCCAUGGCAGAGGAUUUGAGACUAGAUGAUCUUUAAGGUCUGUUCCAGCCCCUUAACAUUCUAUGAUUCUAUGGUUACAUUUACUCCAGGGCCAGGGAAGAAAGAGAGUCAUUGAUGAUCUCCCUUCGUGAGAUAUCACCAUACCCAGUGGCCAUUUGUACUUUUCUGUACAACUCUGGCGUAAACUCUGAGCAAGUUUCAUCCUGGUCACUUCCAGCUAUAACUGUGCCUUGAAGAUGUUUGAGAGAUAAAACAAUAGGCACAAGCAGUACAGGGAAGGCAGAAAGAACAUGGGGUGAAUUCAAGAGCCAUAAUUCAACAGUCAGCAAACAAAGGGCAUGAUGCCAGACAAGUUCAGCCAUAAAGGAGCCUUGUCUUGGGGGCAGGCUGUGAUUGUUUGUGGACA